UGGCGGCGCGCCUAACACACGCAAGUCGAACGAGAGAUGAGGAGCUCGCUCUUCAAAUCGAGUGGCGAACGGGUGAGUAACGCGUGAGGAACCUGCCUCAAAGAGGGGGACAACAGUUCGAAACGACUGCUAAUACCGCAUAAGCCCACGGCUCGGCAUCGAGCAGAGGGAGAGGAGCAAUCCGCUUUGAGAUGGCCUCGCGUCCGAUUAGCUAGUUGGUGAGGUAAUGGCCCACCAAGGCGACGAUCGGUAGCCGGACUGAGAGGUUGAACGGCCACAUUGGGACUGAGACACGGCCCAGACUCCUACGGGAGGCAGCAGUGGGGAAUAUUGCACAAUGGGGGAAACCCUGAUGCAGCGACGCCGCGUGGAGGAAGAAGGUCUUCGGAUUGUAAACUCCUGUUGUUGAGGAAGAUAAUGACGGUACUCAACAAGAAAGCACCGGCUAACUACGUGCCAGCAGCCGCGGUAAAACGUAGGGUGCAAGCGUUGUCCGGAAUUACUGGGUGUAAAGGGAGCGCAGGCGGGAAGACAAGUUGGAAGUGAAAACCAUGGGCUCAACCCAUGAAUUGCUUUCAAAACUGUUUUUCUUGAGUAGUACAGAGGUAGAUGGAAUUCCCGGUGUAGCGGUGGAAUGCGUAGAUAUCGGGAGGAACACCAGUGGCGAAGGCGGUCUACUGGGCACCAACUGACGCUGAGGCUCGAAAGCAUGGGUAGCAAACAGGAUUAGAUACCCUGGUAGUCCAUGCCGUAAACGAUGAUUACUAGGUGUUGGGGGAUUGACCCCCUCAGUGCCGCAGUUAACACAAUAAGUAAUCCACCUGGGGAGUACGACCGCAAGGUUGAAACACAAAGGAAUUGACGG
rnacentral:rRNA from 1 species